AUCGCUUCUCGGCCUUUUGGCUAAGAUCAAGUGUAAAAUUAUAAGAUUAUAUCUUUUAUUAUCAUAGUAUAGAUUUUUUUUCAUGAAAGGUCUAUGAUAUAUGAUAGAUAUU
rnacentral:snRNA from 1 species